CAGAAAUCAUGGGGAAGGCUUUGGGCUUUUCCAAGAUGUGGAUCUGGGGACUCCAAGCAAUGUUAACUACAUUUCAUGGGGCAAACAGGCUCAAGCCCGGUAUUUUGCACAUAAAUGCAAACAACUUUUGAUAUAAUUCUGUCUUAAAUACACUCAAGGAGAUUGGCAUUGAAUGAAGUUUGUUUUUUUUUUUUCUUUACAAAUGGGUAAUUAGUACUCAGAUGCCCUCAGUGUGACUUUGGACAUUGAUAGAGCUGCCUUGCUUAGAGAAAGGCAGGUCGCAUAGCCAUGGGAUCUGCUUCCAUUAUGAGUGUGUCUCAAACCCACCUGUCCCAGGCAGCUCCAGCCCUUAAGGCAGGUAGCUCCGGCCCUCAGGGGCCCUCUGUCCUCCUGCGGAAGCUCCAGAAUCCUCUUUCCAUGUCAUUGUACACCUUCAUACACUGUCAAUUCAGCAUGCCACUCAACUUGAUCUUGAUCUGGGCUCUAAGCCCCUGCUGUGAGCCCACCUACUCCCUGGGUCAGAUAGCUACUCCUGCCAGCCACCCACAGGUCUCCUGAUUCUCAUGUGCCCUCAACACUGCCCAAAGGUGUGCCCAGGGUGGCCAUGGGCUCUUCACAAUACCUGGCAGCUCUGCACAUUGGGCUGUGCUGCUGUCAGCCCAGUGUGGCACAAUCCCCAUAAACACACACAAAAACACAUAUGCGCACACACACACACACUAACACACACACACAGCCACAGCCACAGAGUCUUUGCUAGGUGAACCAUUUGACUGGUUUUAUUAGAUAGAAAUUGAGGGCCGUUCAAACACAGUGACAGAUACAAAGUACCCUGAUGAUGUUUUUAGGCAUAGCAUCACAGUCAUCACUUCAGAAUCACUACUCAAGGACAGCCACACACAAGCUGGAAUUAUGCUACAGGAGUUUGUAUAAACCACUGCUCCCAGAACAAAAUUUGCAUAAAAAUAAGAUCAGGCCUGCAGCCCCCAUGUCCCCAAACUGUCUUUGAAUGGCACAGCCUUUCUCUCCAGGGCCAGGGGAGGGAGAAAAUCAGCAGAGCAAGCAAGGGGCUUUUCAUAUAGAUGGUGUUUCUCCACAUCCCAGCAAAGGACAUCUCAGGCCUCCCUUCUCUUCUCCAUCGGGAAAGGCUCCACGGAGCGCAGUGCAGCGUGACUUGGCUCUUUGAGAGGAAAGCAAGGGAGGGAAGGGAGGCAUGCCACGUGGCCGCUUUUUCUUCAUACGCAGGAGGCCACUCAGAAAUGAGCCGGUGCACCAGCCACUCAGAGAGAGACCCGGCUGCCUUCAUGCAGGCUCCUGGGCAGGGGUGCCAGGAAACUGACACCACGCCUGGGCUGAAGCCACUCCCAGGCACAGCCACAGGCACCUGGCUCCAGGGCAAAAGGUUUCCACAGCUCCCAUGCUGACUCCAGCAUCUGUCCUGGCUUUACUUGGGGAGGGAAGUGGCGGGGGAUUGGUUCCAAACUGUACCAUUGAACAAUCCAUUGUAUGCUUAUUGAGAUACAGUGUUAAUUUUUAAGAAAAUACAUAGACAAAUGCAUAUAUUUCAAAGUUCAAACAAUACUGUAUUGAAGAAGAGUUAUGGCUCUCUGAUGGGAGGCGAGUCGGUUCCAGAAAGGGAAGCUGCAGGCCACCAAGACCCUGCCAGGUCCCUAAAUUGUAUGUGCAGAGUGUGGGAGCCCCAGGGGGCACCAGCUGCCCCAUAAAGUGAUCUUGAGCAGAGGGACUUGCCCAGAAGCUAGCCACAGUGAGGGCCAGACGUCCCACUGGAGAAGAGUACAGGACGAUGGGCUCGGGAGUCCGGGGUAGUCUGGCAGGAGCUGCCACUUGGGACCCCUCCAGCUGCCUCCCACAUGGCCAGAGCAGCAGGGGGCCAGCACCAUGGUCCCUGACCCCAGCUUGCCCCGCUCUCCUGCUUUGCUCAGGCCUGUGGCCUUGGGUGACUCUGCCAGAUACAACUGCCUCCCUUCUGUCCCACUAGGUUCAGCCACCCAAGGCUGCUGGUUCGGGUGCCCUGAGCUUGGCCCCCAAAGAGGAAUGAAUUCCUGACCAGCAGACUGAGACUCAG
rnacentral:lncRNA from 10 species